CAAUAGCGUAUAUUAAAGUUGUUGCGGUUAAAAAGUUCGUAGUUGGAUUUCUGCCAAGGACGACCGGUCCGCCCUCUGGGUGAGUAUCUGGCUUGGCCUGGGCAUCUUCUUGGAGAACGUUGUUGCACUUCACUGUGUGACGCGGUAUUCAGGACCUUUACUUUGAGGAAAUUAGAGUGUUUCAAGCAGGCUUUCGCCUUGAAUACAUUAGCAUGGAAUAAUAAGAUAGGACUUUGGUGCUAUUUUGUUGGUUGAGCCUAAAGUAAUGAUUAAUAGGGAUAGUUGGGGGCACCUGUAUUGCGUUGUCAGAGGUGAAAUUCUUGGAUUUACGCAAGACAAACAGCUGCGAAAGCGUCUGCCAAGGAUGUUUUCAUUA
rnacentral:rRNA from 1 species